UACGUAGGGGGCAAGCGUUGUCCGGAUUUAUUGGGCGUAAAGAGCGCGUAGGCGGCUCGGUAAGCCGGACGUGAAACCUCCAAGCUCAACUUGGAGCGGCCAUUCGGAACUGCUGUGGCUAGAGUCUGGUAGGGGAACACGGAAUUCCUGGUGUAGCGGUGAAAUGCUUAGAUAUCAGGAGGAACACCAGUGGCGAAGGCGGUGUUCUGGGCCAGUACUGACGCUGAGGCGCGAAAGCGUGGGGAGCGAACAGG
rnacentral:rRNA from 1 species